UUGCCCUCUUAGUUUUAAAUCGGCAAUUGUUAGAUUUUUUAUGAGAAAACUAAUCUCUAUUUUUCUUUAAAUUUUCAUGAUUUUGUCUCCCUUUUCUGGCCAUCUUUGUUGCCGAUCAUUGGUGGCAAGCCUCUCGAUAGUGCUAUUAUCAACCUAGCCACCACCAGCCAUAGCCACAACUAGCAGGAGGCUUUUUGUUCUGGGAAAGAAGGGAAAAUUAAUCCCCUAUUUCACCA
rnacentral:lncRNA from 1 species